rnacentral:rRNA from 1 species
AACCAGCACCUCAAGUGGUCAGGAUGAUUAUUGGGCCUAAAGCAUCCGUAGCCGGCUCUGUAAGUUUUCGGUUAAAUCUAUAUGCUCAACAUAUAGGCUGCCGGGAAUACUGCACAGCUAGGGAGUGGGAGAGGUAGACGGUACUCGGUAGGAAGGGGUAAAAUCCUUUGAUCUAUUGAUGACCACCUGUGGCGAAGGCGGUCUACUAGAACACGUUCGACGGUGAGGGAUGAAAGCUAGGGGAGCAAACCGGAUUAGAAACCCGAGUAGUCC